AUGAACGCUGGCGGCGUGCCUAAUACAUGCCAGUCGCGCGAACAGAUAAGGAGCUUGCUCCUUUGACGUUAGCGGCGGACGGGUGAGUAACACGUGGGUAACCUACCUAUAAGACUGGGAUAACUUCGGGAAACCGGAGCUAAUACCGGAUAACAUUUGGAACCGCAUGGUUCUAAAGUGAAAGAUGGUUUUGCUAUCACUUAUAGAUGGACCCGCGCCGUAUUAGCUAGUUGGUAAGGUAACGGCUUACCAAGGCAACGAUACGUAGCCGACCUGAGAGGGUGAUCGGCCACACUGGAACUGAGACACGGUCCAGACUCCUACGGGAGGCAGCAGUAGGGAAUCUUCCGCAAUGGGCGAAAGCCUGACGGAGCAACGCCGCGUGAGUGAUGAAGGGUUUCGGCUCGUAAAACUCUGUUAUUAGGGAAGAACAAACGUGUAAGUAACUGUGCACGUCUUGACGGUACCUAAUCAGAAAGCCACGGCUAACUACGUG
rnacentral:rRNA from 1 species